UUGGGGUGCUCGAGUGGCGAACGGGUGAGUAACACGUGAGUAACCUGCCCUUGACUUUGGGAUAACUUCAGGAAACUGGGGCUAAUACCGGAUAGGAGCUCCUGCUGCAUGGUGGGGGUUGGAAAGUUUCGGCGGUUGGGGAUGGACUCGCGGCUUAUCAGCUUGUUGGUGGGGUAGUGGCUUACCAAGGCUUUGACGGGUAGCCGGCCUGAGAGGGUGACCGGCCACAUUGGGACUGGGAUACGGCCCAG
rnacentral:rRNA from 1 species